ACGAACAAACCACUGGACGCGUAACGAGUGACGUUUUCGUCUUUACCCCGCUAGCACUUACCAAGGCUAAAUUAGCCAUGGUAAAUGUUGUCAGGUUGUCACUUUGUCAGUAUGACGCGAGCUCUCGAAGAGUAAAAAUAUCACGAAAAAUGGGUAAAUGCGCCGUACUUUAUUGCAAAAAUUAUUCCGGUCACACAAGAAAUGUUUCUUAUCACGCAUUUCCAGUGGAUCCAAAUAGAAGGAGAAAGUGGAUAGAGGCAGUCAGAAGACAAAUUACGUGGAUUCCAACUAAAAACCACUGCAUUUGUAGCAUUCAUUUUGCGGAAGAAUGCUACAAUGCCAAUUCUACGAAACAGAGAAAACUGCACAAAGAUUCUUUACCUACAUUGAAUUUGCCUAAAUUUGUUUUAUUUUCGGUAUGCAAUACCGAGGUGGAACCUUUUAGAUCUGUGUCAUCCCUCACAUUUAGUGAAAUACCGGGGUGGUUGGAACUUGAUUUGGUCCAUCCUGUCAUCAACUGUUUUUCAAUGGGACGACUUCUGAACAUCAGAGAGAUCUUGACUGUCAAAAUACGUGAAUUAGGCCACUGAACUUUUCAAAACAAAACCAACACAGGUGAAAUAUCUGAGCAUCUCCCUUGACAACAAAUUGAAGCACCCACUCUAAGACUUACAGGAAACGAUCUAUGAAAGCAAAACAAGGAGACAGGAUAUUCCGCGAUUCUGCACAAAACCCUAAAAGAAAUACCCCUCAUCAACAGGAUGGUACCCUGUGUACACAUCUUCGACCAAAGAUAAUAUCCAGCUUACAGCGGAAACGCGAAAUUGCUCUGGAAUCAAUGAAGUUAGGAUAUACCGACGUCUUCAAAACCGAAAUAAGUACUGGGAGGUCUUCUCGAAUGACCUAAACAUAAGAAUAUCAACAACAUUAGAUAAGAAUAAUAAUAUCAGAUAGUGCAUCCGUACUGCAAGCGCUACAAAGCAAUACAUUGUCAUAAUGUUAUCAAAUUGUGUUUCAUGAA